AAGUCGUAACAAGGUCUCCGUAGGUGAACCUGCGGAGGGAUCAUUAACACGUUUAACACGUAACAAACAAACUGUGAACUUAUAGAUAAUUUGUAGCAAUACUUAUUAUUCUCUACCUCAUUAGAUAAAUUGUUAAAUUGAUUAUUGUGGUUGGUUAUGAAUUUAUUCAUAACACUCGAUUUAACUAGAGUUUAAUCUCAAAAAUUUAUUUAAUAAGGCAAUUCUUAUAUAGCUCAACCAUACUAGAAAAACCUAUUUCACCCUAAACGUAAUAUUAUUAACUAUGUUUCGAUAUAGCUAAUGUUUAUUAUACGAUCAGACUGAAAUAUUAUUAUUUAAUAUAUUCGAAAGAAUAUAUAAAGUAAUAUAUGAUAUUCUAACUAUAAGCACAACUCUUAGCAACGGAUAUCUUGGUUCUC
rnacentral:misc_RNA from 1 species